UGCAUGGAUGAUUGCCUGGAGUAGAA
rnacentral:piRNA from 1 species